rnacentral:lncRNA from 10 species
AGCGGGGAAAGAAUGUAACUACAGGCAGCUAAACAGGAAUUGGGGAGAGGAAACUGCUGGAGGGUACACUGUAGCAAAACUGGAGAGUAAACCAAGAAAGAGGAAGACAAAUUAUCCAGGAAAUGCGAUCCCAAAGACAAGAUAAUCAAGCACAUCAAGAUUAUAGCAAGGAGAGACUUCCCAUACCAACAGCCAGGAAUCCAGGCUGAAGCAGGAGGAUGGAAAUCUUUCUGAAAAACAAGAAACUGUACAUCAUUUGGAAGAAGUUGGAAGAACCAGCGACAUCGUCCCAUCAAAGCUGCCUCCAUUUCCGUCUCCUUGUUUAUGUGGGUAAGUUGUCUUGACAUUUAUAUCUAUACAAAUAAAAAAAAAGCAGGGAUAAAAUUCAUGUUGAACUCUGGCUCAUUCUACAGAAAAAUAAUAUUCAUCUAUGGAUACUU